UCAGCGUCUAAAUGCGGAACGAAAAACGAUUAUUACCUUCUAUUUGCGUUCUAAAAGAUUUAAAACAAAAAAAAAGGAAACAUUUCUGGACGAGGAAGCGAAUAUCUACGGUCGUAAAUCACGACGUGGGUUGAAGUUUCACGCAAAAGGCAACGGCCUUAUUAUUCCGCAAAUGUACUGCCAGAAGGUCAAUUUCUGUAAAAAAAAAAUAUCUACUGGUUCUACGCGUUUCCAUCCAUCAUCGUUGCCCAUUUCUAAAAAAAAAAAAAGAUUUGCUAAUUUCAACUCAUUUCUCAUCAAAAUAGGAUCUGAUUUGCAAUUGAUUUUGAUCGAAUGCCGCGCACAUCAAAAUUAAUUCAUUCAACAUUUGGGCUGCGGUGGUUUACUGGCAAAUGACUAGACCAGAAAUGUUGAUGAAAUUCAAUGAUGUCAUGGCGAAAAAAGGGACUGAACCUUCAAAAUCCUGGAAACUUCCUGACUCGACUCUUUUUAGAGAUUCCCAUUCAGUUCCUCUGAAAAAAUGAUGGCAUCACUCGAUUGACUCAUUCUUCUUAUAGCAAACAACCAAAGUCAAACACUAGUAUCUCUCAUAAACCCGUUUUGAACAAUGUCCCAGAAAGUCAUUUGCAACAUAUUGAAAUUUCCAUCAAAUUGUGUAAUAGGCCCACCCCAAAAUAAUAAUAAUUGUCGGUAUGGUUUUGCAAUUAUCUCGGUUGUAUAUCUCCUUAUGGAAUUUACACGUAACAAAUGAACAUAUUCAAGGCUGAUGACGCCGACUAGAAAAAAAAAAAAGUUAGAACGCAGCCAUACACGCGUAGACGAAAAUAAGAGAGAUAUUUAACAUUUGAUAGGGCGGAGUUUUCACGGUCACCUGCUUUUGCCCGUUUCCCAGCGCAAUGUGAAAGUGGGAGUUACAGUAUACUAUUUGAUUGUGUAUUUUUUUUUGCUUUGCUCCCGAUUUGUUGGGUAUAAAAGACAUUGGCUAGUGCAAUGAUCGAAUCAAUACCAUUUCAGCGCUCAAACUACUAUUUUAAACCGGCUCUAGAAACAUGUACAAGUAUCUCGAAAAUGGCGACAGAGAGAGUUUCGGAUUGGAAACGGGAUCUAAAACGACCAUCGUCAGCGGCCAACAGCGUCAGGUGCUUUACCGUGCAACGUUCCGCCAGGAAGUGAAAUCCAUUCCGCACAGACUGGCUUCCAUCUGGAACAAAUACAGAUCCGUCUAGCAACAAUCAACGCAAAUUUGGUUUAUUUUUCCUCCUCCCACGCAUCUGUGUUCGUUUCCCUACCACCUCUCGUUCUGAUGGUGUCGUCGUUUCACUAAUUAACAGCACAGCAGACGGUUAUUAUUUCGGUUCCUUCCGGACCAGUGGCUUAUACGGAAACCGUCUACUGUGCUGCCCAUCUUCGCUUUUUUACAAAGAUCUAUCAAAUCCGGCAAAUCAUCUUUUGUCACUAUAUUAGCCAAGAGAGACAAUCUUGUUUUUUGUUUCAACCAACUUUUUACUUUUGUUCUCUUCUCGCGUAUUCAGUUUUUGCAAAGUCAAAAAUACAAACAAAAACAA
rnacentral:lncRNA from 1 species